rnacentral:rRNA from 1 species
AGUGAAGCGGGAUGAGCUCAAAUUUAAAAUCUGGCUGGUUUACUAGUCCGAAUUGUAGUUUAAAGAAGCGUUUUCGGUGGCAGCCUGGGUAUAAAUCCUUUGGAACAGGGUAUCAUAGAGGGUGAGAAUCCCGUCUUUGACUCAGUGCAUGCUACUAUGUGAUACGUUUUCAAAGAGUCGAGUUGUUUGGGAAUGCAGCUCAAAAUGGGUGGUAAAUUUCAUCUAAGGCUAAAUAUUGGCGAGAGACCGAUAGCGAACAAGUACCGUGAGGGAAAGAUGAAAAGAACUUUGAAAAGAGAGUUAAACAGUGCGUGAAAUUGUUGAAAGGGAAACGCUUGACACCAGUCAUGCGAGCGGAAAAUCAGUCUUUUGCAGUGGGGAGUUGUGUGGGUUCGGACCGCAAGGCCGGCCUGUGCUGCAUCUCUGCUGUAAGUGAUGCACUUUUUCGUUUGCAGGCCAACAUCAGUUUCUUCUGCUGGACAAAACUCUUGAGAAGGUAGCAGCUUUGGCUGUGUUAUAGCUCUUGAGCGAUACAGUGGAGGGGACUGAGGUUUUCGCAGCGCGUGCUCUCGGGCAAGGCUGAUUGGGUGCUAUGGGAUCGUUCGGUGUACAAUGCAUGCAUUUUGCGCCGUGUCUUUUCUAUACUCGCUCAACUCGGCUCUUCCGCGCUUAGGAUGUUGGCUUAAUGGUUUUAAUCGACCCGUCUUG